AAGGGAAGGUUUCCUAAGCAGUUUUUGAGGGACAAUGCUGUUAAAAAACAAAGAAGACUUUUUUUUUUUUUUUUUUUGAAAGAAAAAGGAUCAUGUAAUAUAUUUAAAUAUUUCGCGUGGGGGUUUUGGCAGAGAUUUUCGCUUCAAAGUUAUUACAUGUUUAGGGUUAAUAACUGCUUUUGAGAAAAAUAACUAAUUGCUGAAAGUCAACAACUAAAGACGAGAAUGUACCUUUGUUUUAAUCAUUUCUGGAUAAGUGACUGUAUAUAUAUAUUAAGAUUAAUCAUGCUGUGUGUAAUCAGCAGCAGCAGCUAAAUAAUUGAAGCUUUGAUCUUGUUAAUGGCUCCAGUAGAAGAAGGGACAGACAGGAUCCAUGUGGGAGUGCCAGAGCUCCGUGGGACAGCAGGAGGAGGUGCAGGAGGCUGCAGCCCCGCUCCAGCUGGCCCCUCUUGGAGAGAACUCGAUCUCUGGUGUCGGGAACAGCGGCAGUCUCACUGGUUCCUUUUGCUUUUCAUUCUGAUCAGAUGUAUGCCAAAAGGAGUGGCAUCAGAGGCUGUGCACGGUGCACGAGCUGUCACCACCCUCCAGUGACAAGGAAGUGAGGGAGAAACACCCAUCCAUGUCACUGGAUGGUCCAGUUGUCUCCAUGGGCUCCAGCUGAGAUUUCAGUCAACUCCGGAGUUGCUUGACAGCUGUGCUAAGGGCUGUACACUCAUCAUAAGACAAGUGGUCUUCCCUGCAAUUGAAGGAGAGAGAAACAAGAGCUGGAUGUGAAGAACAAUUAGCAAUGGCCUGGGAUAAAAGAGUUUAUUACACCUGGGGAUGAGCCAGUCUGAGGAGAGAGGAAGGGGAAGCAGGAGGAUGUGCUUCUGUUCACCAGCCCAUCCUUCAGCAGAAGGACUGCAGGCCUACUGGUGCUGACAGCAGAUGGCUCAGAAUAUGCUCCCAGGAGAGUGGGAAGUAGAAGGAGAGAUGGGAUAAUUGGGUUCACGCCGUUGGCCCUGGACUCCAGAGCUGUUACAGGCUGUGGAACGGCGCAGAGGAAAUGGUCGACCGCGAUGGAUGUGCGGCAGUAAGGAGUGGUUUGAAGGGAGCUAAAAAUACCUGUUGUAUUCAGUGAGAAGCACCCCAUAAGCCAUCAGCAUGAUAGUUUGUAAAUCUUGCCUUCUGAAUGAGAACAGAAACUGGGGCGUGUUGCUUUACUUCAAACAAAGGGUUGGUGUGAUUCAGGGGGGUAAGAUGUGAUCAUCCUCUGGGGAAUGAAAAAAAUUUAAUGAAGUGGACUCUAAAGAUA